UACGGACGGGGCGAGCGUUGUUCGGAAUCAUUGGGCGUAAAGGGCGCGUAGGUGGUCUUGUAUGUCUAUCGUGAAAGCGUACGGCUCAACUGUAUUUUGUCGGUAGAAACUGCAGGACUUGAGGCUGGGAGGGGCUGGUGGAAUUCCCUGUGUAGCGGUGAAAUGCGUAGAGAUGGGGGAGAACACUCGUGGCGAAGGCGGCCAGCUAGACCAGUUCUGACACUGAGGCGCGACAGCGUGGGGAGCAAACAGG
rnacentral:rRNA from 1 species